UGGGGAAUUUUGGACAAUGGGCGCAAGCCUGAUCCAGCCAUGCCGCGUGCAGGAUGAAGGCCUUCGGGUUGUAAACUGCUUUUGUACGGAACGAAAAGACUCUGGUUAAUACCUGGGGUCCAUGACGGUACCGUAAGAAUAAGCACCGGCUAACUACGUGCCAGCAGCCGCGGUAAUACGUAGGGUGCGAGCGUUAAUCGGAAUUACUGGGCGUAAAGCGUGCGCAGGCGGUUAUAUAAGACAGAUGUGAAAUCCCCGGGCUCAACCUGGGAACUGCAUUUGUGACUGUAUAGCUAGAGUACGGUAGAGGGGGAUGGAAUUCCGCGUGUAGCAGUGAAAUGCGUAGAUAUGCGGAGGAACACCGAUGGCGAAGGCAAUCCCCUGGACCUGUACUGACGCUCAUGCACGAAAGCGUGGGGAGCAAACAGGAUUAGAUACCCCCGUAGUCCCUGAGCGGGCUGGCAAGGCGCAU
rnacentral:rRNA from 1 species